rnacentral:rRNA from 1 species
CCUACGGGUGGCAGCAGUGGGGAAUAUUGGACAAUGGGGGCAACCCUGAUCCAGCCAUGCCGCGUGUGUGAAGAAGGCCCUCGGGUUGUAAAGCACUUUCAGUGAGGAAGAACGCCUGGUGGUUAAUACCCAUCAGGAAAGACAUCACUCACAGAAGAAGCACCGGCUAACUCCGUGCCAGCAGCCGCGGUAAUACGGAGGGUGCGAGCGUUAAUCGGAAUUACUGGGCGUAAAGCGCGCGUAGGUGGCUUGAUAAGCCGGUUGUGAAAGCCCCGGGCUCAACCUGGGAACGGCAUCCGGAACUGUCAAGCUAGGGUGCAGGAGAGGAAGGUAGAAUUCCCGGUGUAGCGGUGAAAUGCGUAGAGAUCGGGAGGAAUACCAGUGGCGAAGGCGGCCUUCUGGACUGACACUGACACUGAGGUGCGAAAGCGUGGGUAGCAAACAGGAUUAGAUACCCCAGUAGUC